rnacentral:rRNA from 1 species
AGAUUGAACGCUGGCGGCAUGCCUUACACAUGCAAGUCGAACGGCAGCACGGGAGCAAUCCUGGUGGCGAGUGGCGAACGGGUGAGUAAUACAUCGGAACGUGCCCAAUCGUGGGGGAUAACGCAGCGAAAGCUGUGCUAAUACCGCAUACGAUCUACGGAUGAAAGCAGGGGAUCGCAAGACCUUGCGCGAAUGGAGCGGCCGAUGGCAGAUUAGGUAGUUGGUGAGGUAAAGGCUCACCAAGCCUUCGAUCUGUAGCUGGUCUGAGAGGACGACCAGCCACACUGGGACUGAGACACGGCCAGACUCCGUACGGGAGGCAGCAGUGGGGAAUUUGGACAGUGGGCGCAAGCCUGAUCCGAGCCAUGCCGCGUGCGAGGAUGAACGGCCUUAGGGUUGUAAACUGUCGUUUUUAGGACCGGUAACG